CCUACGGGAGGCAGCAGCAGGGAAUCUUGCGCAAUGGGCGAAAGCCUGACGCAGCGACACCGCGUGGGGGAUGAAGGCCUUCGGGUUGUAAACCCCUUUCAGGAGGGAUGAAAUUGACAGUACCUCCACAAGAAGGACCGGCCAACUACGUGCCAGCAGCCGCGGUAAUACGUAGGGUCCGAGCGUUAUCCGGAAUCAUUGGGCGUAAAGAGCUCGUAGGCGGUUCAGCAAGUCGGCUGUGAAAGUUCGAGGCUCAACCUCGAAAUUGCAGUCGAUACUGCUGUGACUCGAGUCCGGUAGAGGAGAAUGGAAUUCCCGGUGUAGCGGUGAAAUGCGCAGAUAUCGGGAGGAACACCAGUAGCGAAGGCGGUUCUCUGGGCCGGCACUGACGCUGAGGAGCGAAAGCGUGGGGAGCAAACAGGAUUAGAUACCCUGGUAGUCCACGCCGUAAACGUUGGAUACUAGGUGUGGCGUCCCGAUUAACGGUCGCCGUGCCGAAGCUAACGCAUUAAGUAUCCCGCCUGGGGAGUACGGCCGCAAGGCUAAAACUCAAAGGAAUGACGGAAUCGUCGACUGCAGUGGCGUU
rnacentral:rRNA from 1 species